UUGGAGGGCAAGUCUGGUGCCAGCAGCCGCGGUAAUUCCAGCUCCAAUAGCGUAUAUUAAAGUUGUUGCAGUUAAAAAGCUCGUAGUUGAAUUUCGGGACUAAUAUGUCGGUCGUACUUUGUACGUACUAGCAUUAUUGGUUUCUCCCUUCUGACGAACCACGAUGUCAUUAAUUUGGUGUCGUGGGAAGUCAGGACUGUUACUUUGAAAAAAUUAGAGUGUUUAAAGCAAGCUCGCGCUUGAAUACAUUAGCAUGGAAUAAUGAAAUAGGACGUUUGAUUCUAUUUUGUUGGUUUCUAGGAUCGACGUAAUGAUUAAUAGGGAUAGUUGGGGGCAUUAGUAUUCAAUUGUCAGAGGUGAAAUUCUUGGAUUUAUUGGAGACUAACUACUGCGAAAGCAUUUGCCAAGGAUGUUUUCAUUAAUCAAGAACGAAAGUUAGGGGAUCGAAGACGAUCAGAUACCGUCGUAGUCUUAACCAUAAACUAUGCCGACUAGGGAUCGGAUGAUGUUAAUUUUUUAAUGACUCAUUCGGCGCCUUACGGGAAACCAAAGUGUUUGGGUUC
rnacentral:rRNA from 1 species